rnacentral:rRNA from 1 species
UAGCUAGUUGGUAGGGUAAAGGCCUACCAAGGCGACGAUCGGUAGCUGGUCUGAGAGGAUGGCCAGCCACACUGGAACUGAGACACGGUCCAGACUCCUACGGGAGGCAGCAGUGGGGAAUAUUGGACAAUGGGGGCAACCCUGAUCCAGCAAUGCCGCGUGUGUGAAGAAGGCCUGAGGGUUGUAAAGCACUUUCAGUGGGGAGGAGGGUUGAUUGGUUAAGAGCUGGUUAAUUGGACGUUACCCACAGAAGAAGCACCGGCUAACUCCGUGCCAGCAGCCGCGGUAAUACGGAGGGUGCGAGCGUUAAUCGGAAUUACUGGGCGUAAAGGGUGCGUAGGUGGUUUAUUAAGUUAUGUGUAAAAUCCCUGGGCUCAACCUGGGCAGGUCAUAUAAUACUGGUAGACUCGAGUAUGGGAGAGGGUAGUGGAAUUUCCGGUGUAGCGGUGAAAUGCGUAGAGAUCGGAAGGAACACCAGUGGCGAAGGCGGCUACCUGGCCUAAUACUGACACUGAGGCACGAAAGCGUGGGGAGCAAACAGGGUUAGAUACCCUGGUAGUCCACGCUGUAAACGAUGUCAACUAGCUGUUGGUUAUAUGAAUAUAAUUAGUGGCGC